ACUUGGGUAUAAUGGAUUCAUUAGUGAGCUAUUCCGUAAAGGGGAAUGUGGUGAUAGCUGAAGUUGAAGUGUAUCUUUGGCGACCACUUAAGGGAGGUAUAGGGAUUCCUGACGCAGUAAAGAAGAAGUAUGGAUAAGAUAUGCAAUAAAUGUUUUGUCAUUAAUCAUAAUCUUAAUGAUUGUGAAGCGAAUGCUUAUAAAGUCAUGAUUUACGAAAUUAACAUUGUUUAAUAUAAUGAGUAUCUUCAAGCUUAAGAUUUUGGUGAACUUGAAGACGGGGAUAACAUUGAUGAGAAUGAGUUGUUGUUGAAGGGGAAGAAAAUAGUCAUAAUGGGUUUAAGUCUACCAAACAAGGUAUUCUUGCUAGCUAUUAUGGAUAAUAGGCUCAGUCAAACCUAGAAAAAGAUACAAGGAGAAACAAGAUGAGAAGAAAGGAUAGUGAAAUCAGAUGUCGCGCGUCUUCUCAUCCUUUAUCCACUAUAGCCAAUAUUCAAGACCCUAAUCACCAAAUCACUGAUCAAUCAACCUUGAUAGCGGAAACUCAUGCUUCUGAGUAUCUCAACAUGUCUACAUCUACAGCCACCAUCUUGAGUAAAGUAAAGGAUGCACAGGUAAUACUGAAAUGGAGGAAAAAAUUAUGAUAGAUAGGAAGAUUGAAUCAUCACUGAGGAAGCGAGGAAGCACUGGAAUCAGGUAACUUGAAGACUGGAGGUUGAAGUCUAGAAGAUUUCUUUUUGUUAUUCUGAUAUUUGUGAUAACUUUUGAUUAACUGGGAUUCGACAAGAUUGUUUAUCUCGUACAGACUUUUUAAGCUUGUUGUAUAAAUCAACAAUCCUUGUGUGUAUCUCUUUGAGAUCUACUUUAAUAGUUCGUGAACUAAGAUAGAUUAUUUAGGUAAUCUUGAUCUUAGUUGAUCUUACCGAUACGAACGAGCUUAUAUUGAUUAACUUUUAUACUCAA